UGUUUAACAAAGAGAAGCAAAGCCGCGAGGUAGAGCAAAUCUCAAAAAAACAAUCUCAGUUCAGACUGCAGGCUGCAACUCGCCUGCACGAAGUCGGAAUUGCUAGUAAUCGUAGGUCAGCAUACUACGGUGAAUACGUUCCCGGGCCUUGUACACACCGCCCGUCAAACCAUGAGAGUUGGCAACACCCGAAGUCGGUAGUCUAACCGCAAGGAGGACGCCGCCGAAGGUGGGGUUGAUGAUUAGGGUUAAGUCGUAACAAGGUAAC
rnacentral:rRNA from 1 species